UACGGGGGGGGCAAGCGUUGUUCGGAAUUACUGGGCGUAAAGGGCUCGUAGGCGGCCAACUAAGUCGGAUGUGAAAUCCCCAGGCUUAACCUGGGAACUGCAUCCGAUACUGGAUGGCUUGAAUUCGGGAGAGGGAUGCAGAAUUCCAGGUGUAGCGGUGAAAUGCGUAGAUAUCUGGAGGAACACCUGCGGUGUAGACGGCUUACUGGACCAUAACUGACGCUGAGGCACGAAAGCGUGGGUAGCAAACAGG
rnacentral:rRNA from 1 species